GCCAGGAUGGUCUCGAUCUCCUGACCUCGUGAUCCGCCCACCUCGGCCUCCCAAAGUGCUGGGAUUACAGGCGUGAGCCACCUCACCCGGCCCUAAAAGAAGAUUCUAAAGGGAUUUGCUUCAAAUUCACACCUAAUGAGGAUUCUCCCUGUUUUACACUAGAGGAAGCAGAGACACAGAGAGGUUUUAUGGCUUGCUCAAGCUCACACAGCAAGUCCGCUGCAGAGCUGGAAUUCCACCCAGGCAGCCUGGCCGGAAGCCCAGGCCUUUCACCCCUAUGCUACACUGCCUUGUG
rnacentral:lncRNA from 10 species